GUUAACUAGUAUUCUACAAUAGGGUUUAAUUAGGAAUUAAGAUGGAGACUAAUUAAACCCUAUUGUAGAAUACUAGUUAACUAUCCACUAUGUGAAGAUACUUGAAAUUUGCAUUAAGGGGCUCUAAACAGCUCUAAUGUAAGACUGUAGGGGGGAUCCCAAAAGAUGUUAAAAUGAACUCCCUGUCCUCAGGGAGCAUACGGUCAAGUCAUAGAACUAAGACAAGAACCUGGAGACCAUAAUUGAAGGCAGAACAUGGGCAGGGAGGACCCAUCUCAAAGGAGGGGCUCCACUCUACACCCAAGUAGGAGAACCUGGUCCUCUAAGAUUUAGACUGGGGAAAAGCCAGCAGAUUUGACAUCUAUGAACAUACCUUUUAUUUAAGAAAAGCUCUGCUGAGGAAAAUAAAAUCUUUUUAUCUGAACUAUCAGAAAUCUUCUGAACAUGUUACAUUUUUUACAAAUGCUAAGUCAUUAUGUAGACCAUGGUGUAUAUAUUAAAAAAGGGUCAUUUGUGGUUUUUAGAGUACCUUACUAUGGGCUGAAUAUUUGUGUUAAGGCUUUCCUACCUCUUGGCGUUGUGUCCAUUUAGAGGUUUUAUGACCGAAGAAAGAUUUUCGUAGAGAGGCAGGGGCCCUGUGGAGAUAAAAUGCCUUGUGUUUCCCUGCAGGCAGUCUAGCUCUGUCAGCCGAGUUUAACAGCCAUUCAUACACUGAGAAGAUCUUAUCUUGUGUCCUAUUGGUUUGGGGUCAUUUUCUGGCUCACAUUAUAUUGAAACAUGGGCAGAGAGAGGGAGUAAUUUGUUAAUGUCAUGUAGGAUGAACUUGGUUGGGAAGGGAAGUGUACCCACUUUAUAAUAACACAAGUAUUUCCUUGCUAAUCCCUUGGCAGGUUCAUUAUCUGUACAGCCCCGGGCAAUGGUUAGCCUAUGGUGAAAGUGAAAUUUAACCCUCAGUGUGAAAUUAAUCCUCAAAGACUUAUGUCUGCUUGGUCUAGAAGUAAUACAUUCUAAAUGAUUUUAUAAUCCCUGACUCUUUCUUUAUGCAAAGGUGCUAAAUUGUUAUUGAGAUGUUAUAGAGCAUGCUAGGAAAUUUAUUUUCCUUUACUUAAGAAAACUGAACAAAUCUAUGAGAAUAAAAAGUCUGAUUUUCCAGUUCAGUUUUACAGUCGAAAACCUGACCUGGUUCGAUAUCUCUUUUUAAAGCUUUUAGAAGGUGAUCAUACUCAUGGUUGUGCUGUGCUACAUCGAAUACAGAUGGAAAAAUAAUUUUUUUUUAAAAUGUCACUUGACAAGGAGACUCUUUUGCUCAGCUUCUUGACAUUUGACAUAGAAAAACUGGGAAACACCAGGAACACACCAUUCAAUAGUGAAGAAUGGUUCCUUGUAGAGUCAGGGAACCUUUAGCAAGGGUUUAAGAGUAAAAGGAAGUAAAACUGUGUUCAUUUUCCUGCUUUAUAAGAUAGUGCUUUCUUCUUAGCCUUUUCUUGUAGCUUUCUUUCCAAGGUGUAUGGGCAGUUAGGGAGGGAGAGGAAGGAGAGCUUAGAAUUGAGAAGAGGGUGGAAGGGAGCCAAUAUUUACUGAGAAAUAAUGAUACCAAGCAUUUUACUCACAUUGUCUUAUUUAAUCUUCACUGUAAAUGGCAGAGAAUAUAUCACUUUUCCCAAUAAAGAAACAGUCUGAGUCCUGUCCAAGUUCGUGCAGUGGCUGUCUGGCACAGUCAUGAUUUGAACCCAUGUCUGACUGACUCCAGAGCCUUUUCUGUUUCCAUAGUAUUGGAGAACCAAAUCCCCAGAAAAGAUAAAAUUGAUUUGAAGAAUCAAUGAAAUCUUGCCUGACUGAAAUUCAGUUUUUCUCCUCGCCCCCAAAUAUAAGAGAUCUUUGUAAUGUACCCAGUUGUGGCUUAGAAUAUUAGUGCUUCCCUUUGCUUGUUGUGUUUCAUUUUUUCAUAUCAUAUAUUCUUAGGUUUCUGUUUGUUCCACCUUCACUAUGAUGAAAUUAACCCCUAUCUCCACUCACAACACUUUAAGAGAUGUUUGUGAGAUAAGUGAGUGAAAGGCUGAAGGAGGUAAGUGUGCAAUAUGAUUUAUGGAAUUCUUUAUUUCUAGACAUUUCAAAGAAAUCAGGGAUUUUCUAAAUUUAGAAAAUGUGUCUGAUUUUCUAUGAUCCAGCAAAGGCACACUUCUUAGGAGUCUACUAUUGCUUUAUUAUGUACCUCACAUGAUUUUGAAUGAUUUUUCAGUAGAUAAGGUUGGUCUCUUGAAAGCUGGUCUCUGCACAUGUCCUUGCCUUACCCUGUCCCUUAUCAAAUUUGUUCUCCAGGUUUUGAUUCUUCCACUCCUGGCCUGACCAUUUUUUUUGAAAUUUUGUUAUUGCUUCCUGUUGGAUGACAUAGACUGUCACUACUGGAAGAGGAAAUUAAAUUGAUCUGACACAAUUUUCUCUUCACACAGCCAGGUUUGAGGGAAGCCAAUGCCCUUUUCUAAAUAAAUACAAAUCAAUUAUUUAAUAACUUACUUUUAUUUCUGCCUACUAUUUCUUUUUUACUCUAUAACUACCUUUUUUUUAGCUUCUAGAAUAUUUCUCCUAAGCUUUUAUAAAUUGAAAGUUGUUCAAAGCAGAAAGUUGUUAGCCCUUCUUUAUAAAUGCCUGUCUCCUUUCUAAAAUUCAUUCACACAGUGCUUUUCUGUGCCGUUUAACUUCCCACCCUUGCUUGUUUUCCCAAAAACCAUCCUUCCUGGAUUCACAAGUUAACUGCUUUAAAUAAAUUUCUCCAUUUAACCUCAUUUAUCCUCCAAUCCAUCAACCCAGUUGUAUACGCUAUCUUCUCUAAGCAUUUAUUUAUUCUCUGUAUGUGUAUACAAUAUUUAUUUUAACAGUACUGUGUAUUUACUUUGAAUUCCCUUCUUAUUGCCCCUGGUUUUUCAACUUCCUUAGGAAUCCUUUUUUUGGUAUUCUUGAUGCCUGGUACAGUUUGCUAUGCACUUUAUAGAUGGGUUGAAAAAUUAACUUUAAUGAACUUAUAUAGUCAUUUUACAUUUUAAUGGAAUAAAUAUUUCUUCUAAUUUUAAGGAAAGUGAAAGAAUUCAGUCACUGAUAAAUGAGCAUUUAUUUUACUGAAAUGAAAAUGGAUUCCAAUAAAAUAUUCUUUAUUGUUUAGCCACACAAGCACUCAAAGGGGGUAAACUCCAUUUUGUUUUCUGAGAUUUGUUUAGUCAUUAUAAAGAGCACCACAAGACUUCCUUUGAAGUGAUGAUUUUCACAAGCAUAGAAAGUCAUUUAUAGUGUUUAAAAAAUAAUCUUAAAAAUACAUAAAACUGCAAACAAGCAGUAAAAAUUUGUUACAAUGCAGGCUCUUUUGAGUACUCAAGAAAGUCUUGAUGUUGGCAUUUGUUUAUAGUUUUGUUUGUUUUUCUAAAAUUACUUCCAAAUUGUCAGUCUUCAGAAGAGCAUGCUGAGGUGUAAUAAUCACACUUCAGGUCUGUUCAUUAAUGCACAAUAUUACGGAAAAUUGUUUUCACUCUUGAAAAUCCCUCCACAGCCAUAAAAGUGCCAAUGAGAUUGUCCCUGCUGUUCCAGCCAGGCCUGCGAGCCUCAGAGUGAGGGGAUAUUUAUAAGAAAAUUCCAGACAUAGCAGUGCUGCCACGCUCCUUAGGACCCAAACUUCCUAGAUUUUGUCUCUUGUACUAAGGAAAAACAAAGAGGCAUGAAAUUGAUAUUGCAAAUUCUCAAAUUACUGUUAGGACUCUUUACAAUGAAGAUACGUGCAUUAUUUUGUAGAGUUAUUAGAUCAGUUUGGAAGAAAAAAAUCGCUUUUCACUCCUCACUGCACUCAGGUGGCUUUCAGUCCCUAUCUCUCUCAGUAUACAGCUCCGGCAUCUCUCCAACAGUGUCCCGAGAAGCCAAUUCUGUUUUCCAGUGGGGGAUUUGGUUUUCUGUAAGAUUAUACUGACAGUUUUUCAUAUGUAGAAAACUCUAUUUUAUUUUUAUGAAAGUAACAAAGACACAGGCAUGGAAAUGACUUGAAUAUAUCUAUGUAUUGAUCUUUUUCAGAUUUUACACUAGAAACAGACCACACUGCUUUCUUUAGCUGCAACUCAAAUAGCUGGAAGGAAAAGAACGUUGUGUAUUUAAGUCUUUCAGUGUCCCUAAUUUGAUUUGGAAUUUAAUUCAGUAGAUUACAUUCUGCAUUUCUCAGAAAACACUUUGCUGGCCUUAUAAGCACUGUACCUUCAUUCUGAGGGCUGAUGCAUCUCAUAAAAUAUUGUUUGAGGAACACCAAAGGAAGCAUUUUGAUCUUUUUAGUUCAGAACCAGCAUAAUAAAAUUAUCUUGUUGUAUUUUAUUUCAAACCUAUAUAAAUAACUAAAGUGUUGAGGGACUAUACAAUCAGUAACAUUAAGUUUAUAUGAGAAGAAUUGAAUUUUCAAAAUCAGAAUUCAAUUUUGAUAUUUUCCCAGCUCCUCCACCUACUCUAUGUACUAAACAUGUCUCCCCACACACUCUGAGAAUGCUGCAUUUAUACAGCUCUGUGCAUAAAAACUAGCAUUUUAGCCUUAAAUGUUAGCUGUAAGCUGGAGCUUCCCAACAGAAACAAAGUAUGACAAGACAUAUAAUUUUGAAUUUUCUAGUACACACAUAUAAAAUUAAUGCUUAAUACAAUACAACAUUUAAUAGCAUACAAUAGUUAAAAUGUAGUGCUAACAAAAUAACAAGUUAUUAAUGUAAUAAUAUUUUAUCCUUCUUUAGUUCUUAAAUUUAGAUCUAAAUUAAUUAAAAUAAAAUAAAUUUAUUUCUUCAGUUUUUCUAGCCACAUUCGAGUUGCUCAGUGAUCAUCCUAGGGAACAAUAGAGUUUUAAGCCUUUGUGGAUGUUACUUGAAGCUCUAGUGAUAUUUUAAUGGUCUUUUUAUAUGUAGUCAUUGUUUAGGAAAAACUAUCAAUGAUAAAACAAACACAAAGUCCUUUUUAUAAAUCUACUGGAAACCUGCAUGUAUAAAAGGCUUUGUUCUGCUGAACUGAUUUCUAAUGAGGUUUGAUUUUACACGUGUGUGCUACAAGUGUUGAUGGGAGCAAAGCCAUUAGAUCAAUUUAUGACUUUGUAAGAAGAUAACCAUUUCCCACUUUUAAUCCCAUUACAAAGUCCUAGUAACACCAAGCCUUUGUAUAUAUCCAAAAUCAUGAGCUUGAUAAUGUGGGAUGUCAAAGAGGGGUAAUGAUUAAUUCAUAAAAAUAAAAGUCUUGCUAUUUCAACCUUUUGACAGCUUAUAUAAAAUAUGCAACUUUAAAACUAGGUAGAAUUUUUUUAAAUAUUUAUUUUCUCCCAUUUUGUCUUUUCUCAGAGGAGGAACAUGAGUGUUUUUCUAGUUCCUCUUUUCCUGAAAUAAGAAAAGGGAUACAUCUGUAAUCAUCAAAGACUUACUAAUAUACUAGGAUACAGUGCUCAGAGAAAAAUAAGCCUUUAAAAUGUCAUGCUUGGAUUCUGUAUGAGAAUAUUCAUACAAUCUUUAAGCUUCAGUCAGACAAUUUACUGAACCCUUGCAGCCUCCCUUGUGUGAGGUAUUUUCCAUGCUGAGUGAUAGCAGUGGGCCACGUGAAGUAAUAGUUUCUCAUUCACUUGGGGCUUAUAUAACAUCUUUUGCUCCAAACUAAUGGAAAUGAAAAGAAUGUGAAUGAGCUAAAAAAAAAAAAAAGUGAAAGGGAAAGUUGUGAUUAAUUCUUUGGAUAUAAAUACUGCAUGGCAUACUCAGUGAAUUAGGUUGGUAUGAAGACAUUUUCCCUCCAAGAAACAAUGUGGCAAAAACACAAUUCUGCCUUUUUUUGUAUUUUUGAACAUUUCCAUAUUUCACUGUAAAGACUUGGAUUCUAGAUGGUGUUGCCAUAAGAACAGGCACUACUGGAGAUGCACAUUCCUGUAAAAAAAAUAAUAAUAAUCACCUCUCUCAGUGGUGAAGCAAUCAACAAAGAAAAACUCCAUCAGCAAACCUCAAGCAUAUGGCUGAAGAGGAGUGAAAAGAAGUAGGGAAAUUUUUUCUGGAAAAUAUGAAUGCAUGCUAUCUGAUCACCUGUUUAAGGUGCCUGUGUGUGUGUGCCCUUCCUCAGCGAGCUGCCACCCUCAUUCAUGGCCUCACUGAAGGGAUGUGCUUGAUGACCACCUCUGCACUGUCAGUCUGUCCCCUGGAUGCUACUAAGCAAACCAGUGUUAGCGGAGCUGACCCGGGGACAGCUCCAAAAAUUCCCUUCAGAAUUUUAGCUAUGACAUGGCUUUGUAGUGAGAGAACCAACAGGAAACACAUGGCAUUCCCACAAGAGGAUAAUUUGAAGGGGGUUUAUAUAUAGAUUAAUUACAAAGGUGUGGGCAAGGUGUAAAGAAACCACAAGGAAUAACUCAGGGUCCUCGGGCUAGCAGGAGGUAGGAGGAGCAGCAGGAGCUUAAAGCUGUCAUUACCUCUAGGCUCAAAGGCAUGUGAGAAGGGAAAGGUGACUGAAACUUCAAAGGUGAAAGCCACGAAGACAGAAGCACAGAAGCGGAGAACUUCUGUUGACAGAGACAGCAACCUGAGGAAGUCUCACAGGAAGGCACCAGACACAUAAAUACCCCCUCCUCAUUCUCCUCCCUCCCUCCUGUUACCUGUCAGGGCUCCCCAUUGACCAAAUCCAACUGGAUGGCAAACAAGGAGUCUUUUGAAGUAAUCAAUUCAAUUCACAGGAUAGAAAAGGGUGGAGAGUGGAUCUGGAGGAGCAGAGCAAAAAUAUUUCACAUGUACUGUAGCAAAAAAGGGAGUAAGUAGUGGGCCAUAACUUUGUAUCAUUUUACACCAAAUUCAGUGCUGAGGGAGCUGGAAUCAUGAGUGCCCAGAGGAACCAAUCUGUAAAGAGGAUAUAAAGCUCACAAUGUCGAGCCCUGUGUCUGUUAAUGCAAACCUACUGCAGAAACAAGUAAAUUCUUCAAUUUCAGUGAUUUGACUCAAUCAUGCAGCCCAAUGCAGGUUCCAGAUUCAGAGAAGUACAACUGAUCCAAACAGUUAUAAAAGCUUAGGAGACAGCUUUCGGAGGAUUUUUCGAACAGAAGGAUCAUCUAGUUAUGGUGCUAGCUGAAAGAGGAAUACACACCACCUUUUGAACUAGAAGUUUUUAAAAAUCACAACAAAUGUCUUUAGCAGCAGG
rnacentral:lncRNA from 1 species